CGGCCCGGCCCGGCCCGGCAACGGAGGCGGGAGAUCAAUCAGUCAAGCGAUCGUUGCUAUUUAUCGAGCGCAAACUGUGGGCCGUGGACUGUACCGAGCACUUGGGAGAGUUUGAGGCUACCGAGUUGGUAGACUUGAACGUGUGCUGCUAUCUGACCAAGAGGCUGCUUUGAAUGGCUCUGAAUGCAAACAUGAAUCACGCCUCUAAAAGGGAGAAAGGAUUCUGCUGCUGUUACGGGAGGCAUUCCGCAAUAAGGGGAGUCGUGUGAAGAAGACUCAGGAGAGCUUUCGAGUGAAUUUCACAAGACAGACAAACCUACAGACAAGGAAGUGUUACCUGAAGUUACAUAUAUGUUGUAAAAUGACUAGACGAAUCCUAACUUGUUGGAUUUCAACAAUAUUACACCAAAAGGGUGUGGUGUGAUGAGAUAACACACACCUUUGGAUUCUUUGUCCGCCAUGAAGUGAAGUAGAAAAGGAUUAUCCCAAGA